AAAAUCUGUGCAUUCUUGUUUUCUAAAGUCGUUGCAUGAUCUCAUUAUUCUUUGCUUGAUUAUUACUUAGAAGGCGUUUCAUCAUUUAGUUCCAAAUGCUAGAACUCAUGCCUAAUUUAUUCAAAGCAUGCUAUUGAUUUGCAUAAAACAUAUUCAAGAUGAAGUUGUGUAGUUACCACCACCAAAGCCAAACUGCCAUGUGUCCCAUAUCGUUAUAUGUUUAAGUUAACCCCAUUGAGCCUUGAUAGCCUACAUUCUUUGUUAAACCACAUUAUCCUUACCUAGCCUAGUUUAGGACCAUCCAUACCCUUAUUCUUGAAGCAUAGUAAAGCAUGAUUCAAAUUGAAUUUCUUUUGAUUAAUGUAUGGCAGAAAACAAGUGUGGGGGAAGUGUGAGUUAUUAUGCUUGUUGAAAAGAAAAGAAGAGUUGAGAAAAAAAAAAAAAAAAAAAAAAAAAAAAGGAGUUGAAAAAUAUGCGAAAAAGAGUUUUUGUAAUCUUACAAUGUGAUUUGCCUAAGAGCAAAUGAACGAGAGAUAGAACUCAAAGAAUGGGUUCUUUGAGAGACAAGAAAGUAAUCAAUAAAUAUAACAACCUAGUUCCUAUACCAAAAGCUCCAAGGUAGUCGAGAAGGAUUUAUAAACCGUCUAAGUUGAAUGGUUUGAACUUUAUGACUAUGUCAUAGAGUUGCACCACUUAAUUCGAAAGAAAUAAGAAUGAAAAUCCUUAUGACUACAUUGAGUGUAU
rnacentral:lncRNA from 1 species